CGCGGGAGCCUGGCGGGGACGGCGCGGUCAGUGUUCGGCUCCUCCGCAGUGACUCACCCGCGUCCUGAAGUUUUUGAUCACCAUUGGCUGGGAAGGAAAAACAGAAUCAGCUGUUCCCUGCGAAAGGUUAACAUUCCUGCUCCUUCCUUUAAAAAUGAAGCUCAAGGCCAGGCGCGGUGGCUCACGCCUGUAAUCUCAACACUUUGGGAGGCCGAGGCCGACGUAUCACGAGAUCAGGAGUUCGAGACCAGCCUGGCCAACGUGGUGAAACCCUGUCUCUACUAAAAAUACAAAAACUAGCCGUAACCCCUGCUACUCGGAAGGCUGAGGCAGGAGAAUCGCUUGAACCCGGGAGGCGGAGGUUGCAGUGAGCGGAGAUCGCGCCUCUGCACUCCAGCCUGGGACAGAGCGAGACUCCGUCUCAAAAAAAAAAAAAAAAAAAAAAGGAAGCUCAAGAUGAAGAGUCAGAAGUGGUAACUUGUUUGUUGCACAAGAAACAAAUUUAAGGCCGGGCGCGGUGGCUCACGCUUGUAAUCCCAGCACUUUGGGAGGCCGAGGCGGGCGGAUCACGAGGUCAGGAGAUCGAGACCAUGGUGAAACCCUGUCUCUACUAAAAAUACAAAAAAUUAGCCGGGCGUGGUGGCGGGCGCCUGUAGUCCCAGCUACUCAGAGAGGCUGAGGCAGGAGAAUGGCGUGAACCUGGGAAGCUGAGCUUGCAGUGAGCCGAGAUUGCGCCACUGCACUCCAGCCUGGGCGACAGAGCGAGACUCCGUCUCAAAAAAAAAAAAAAAAAAGAAACAAAUUUAGCAUUCUAUUUAGGGGAUCCAGAUUACGAAAAAAAGUGAUUUCUGCAUUAAGUAUAUUAAUAAAACUUUAUCACUAUAAACAAUUCUGUAACAGGAACGCCAAGGAAAAAUAUUUGACUUUUUAGAGAAGUCAUUUUUUAAACUUUUAGAGGUUGUGACAUUUAAGUAACAUAAUUUUAUUUAGUACGUGGUAUGCAAAGACAUUCUGCUGGGUAUGGCAGCAAAUAGCUUUGUAAAUCGCAGUGUCCCAUCUAAUUAACCCACAUUGUAACAGGUGGUUUUAUUUUGCAGCACUGCACCACAGUCAGGUAACACCAAGAAUAUCGUUAAUGUACUUUUUUAAGUUGAUAUAUUUAGGAUUCCACAAAAGUCACUGAAAAUAACUGAGUGCAUGACAUGUCACAAAACAAGGGAAAGAAAUCAUUUUUUGAGGGUCAGUCGUCUUACAUCUUUUGUAACUAAUUUAAUCCCCAAAACAAUCCAAUAAAGUAGAAGUUAUUCUAAAUUGAAUUUUAAGCAUGAGAAUGGGAAUUACUCAUCAAAAGUCAAAAAUAAUCGUGCAGCAGGGCAAAAACUAAAGGCUGACAUCAGAACCCAUGUUCUUUUCACUGUUGAUGUGCUAGGGCUGCAGGAACAAAAUACUGCAAACUAGGCAGCUUAAACAAAUUUAUUGUCAGAGGUUUGACUGGAAGUCCCAAAUCAAGGUAUUGGCAGGGUUGGUUCCUUCUGAGAGCUGUCAUGGGAGCCUGUUAAUGUAUCUCAGCGUCUGGGCAUUCCUUGGCUUGUGGCAGCAUACCCCCGCCAGUCUUCACAUGACGUUUUCCAUGUCCAUGUCUGUCUGCACACAGCGUUCUUUUUAUGAGGACAUCAGUCAUAUUGGAGUACGGUAGGUGCUACUCUAAUAUGACCUCAUGUUAACUAAUCAUGUCCACAACAACCCUGUUUCCAAAUAAGGUCACACGGUAAAAUACUGGAAGUGAGGUCUUUAACACAUGAAUUUGAAGGGGACACAAUUUAACCCAUAACACACCGUAUCCCGAAAUAACUAUCCAAUGUAAUUUUUUUAAAAGACACAAAACUAGCCGAAAUUAUAAAAGGUUAUGAUUGCAAUCCUGGUGUCCAAUUACAUUCUCCCUCCUGCAGAAGCUGUGGGGAAUCCUGUCUCAGAAAACCAAUUUCUAUUUUGUCACAUGUCCAUCUAUGCAAAAUACAUGUACUUUGUCCCUGACAUAGGGCAACAAUGCUGAAUUUACUAAGACUCAUUUUUGAGCAUGGUUUGAUAGGGAAUUAAGAUUUACUAGGUAUUCUGUCAUUGUCCUCCUUACUGAUUAUUUUAACUGUGUCUCAAACGCUUGGAUAGUUAGUACGCUAUAGUGUUAUAAGCUGUUUGACAUGUUGCUUCAUAAAUUCUCAAGUUUUAUAUAUAUAUGUGUGUGUGUAUGUGUCAUAUAACAGGCACAACUGUUUUCGUGUGUAUCACUUUAUUGCACUUCACAGUUAUCAUGUUUCUUACAAAGUGGAGAUUUGUGGCAGCCCUGCAUGGAGCAAGUCUAUCAGCACCAUUUUUCUAACAGUAUGUGCUCACUUCAUGUCUCUGUGUCACAUUUUGGUAAUUCUUGGAAUGUUUCAAAUGUUUCCAUUAUUAAAUCAGUUAUGGUGAUCUGUGAUUAGUGAUCUUUGAUAUUACUGUCAUAAUUGUUUGGGAGGCACUAUGAACCACCCCUAUAUAAGACAGCAAACUGAGUCAAUAAAUGUUUUAUAUGUUCUAACCACU